GAACACACCCACACACACAGAGUCACACAGUCAGACCAGGCAAUGCAGGAAAGCCACGUCAGGUCAGCACAUGAAUCCACGGAAAAGGACUGAUAAAUUAAUGUGACACUUCACAUCAUCUGACACCAACUAACGCUGAAUUUACAAAGGGACAUCACCCAAGCUGAACUGCCACAGACUCGGAAGCAGCUGUAGAGCCGGAGUAUCUGCCGUCCCGCUGAGAAAUCCAGAGCAUCACAACGCCCAGAGAAAUACAAGAUGGCUGCUGGCCGUAUCGCUCGUGCUUUUGAAUACGCCGGGAACGAAAGGGGCAGGGCGGCAUUCAGAGAAAAAACACUACGUAGCAAAAAAGACACUCUGUUUUAUGAUACAGGUGCUGAUGGUCAAACAUGCAGCCUCAUGUAUUUCAGCAAACGUUUUAUAGAAUGGUUGGAUACACUGAAGCAACAAUACCCUAAACUUCAGGAAACUCAACAGAAUGGUAAAAUCAUCCUUCAGUCCAAGGAAGGUAUCAUAACUUUAGAUCCGAGUGUAAAGGCUGUGGUACAAGGCCGACAACUAAUGGGGAGGUUUGAGAGAGAUUUUCCACAAAUGAAGCAAACGGUCAGGCCAGGCUCUGACAAUGCUAACACUAGAGCUCGUCCUUUUAUGUUCCGUGGAGCACGUACAAAUGAGCAAAAACGUCGGCUCAGAAACAGGAAACUGCGACAAAAUCACGACACUUUGUUUUUUUGUACUGCUGUCAGAGAUAGGGUUACUACAAGAUGGAACCUCAUGUUCUUUAGCAUGCUUGUAAAAGAAUGGCUAGGUGCAAUGCGGCAAAAUUAUCCUGAACUUAGUCCAGACACACCGGACAAUAUGAUCACACUCAAGUCCAAUGAAGGUAACAUAAGCUUAUAUCCUGAGGUAAAAGUUGUGGUAGAAGGCAAGCUAAUGAAGAGGUUUGAGAGAGAUUUUCCACAAAUGAGACAAACAGCCCAAUCAGCUGACUUAUCAGCAGCAAUGGGAAAGUUAACCUUAAACAAUUAGGAAUAAAAUCCUGAUGAGCCAGAGGGUGAGGGCACACUUGACACACCACCCAACCCAGCCAACUGAAGAGAAAGAAUGCCUGAUGAAUAAGGAGAGAAACUAGAAUUACCGCCACGCUGUUGUUUGCAUCUGCGCACCAGUCAAGUUUCUCUUACAGUGAAAACAAGAAUGCUUUAAAACCACUGUCCCCACAAAGGCAUAAAAACACAGAAUAAAACACUGUAAAUAGCUGAUUCUUAAAGCUUUAUCCUACUACUUUAUUUUAGGAAUAUGUAAUUGGGUUGUAAAAUCUAUUACAUAUUGUUUUCUGAUUUGUAUUUAGUUUGUAAGGCAAGGUUUCACCUGGGUUGUGUGUGAGUUUUAUUUUGCAGUUUUUCAGUUUAUAGCAAUAUAGAUGCCUUGACAAGGCGACUUAAUAGCGUAUGGGGAGAUUCUUAUAAACAUUGGUGCUCAUACAUACAGGGGAAAUUUGUUUUGGUGUUUAUAUAUUGUUUCAGAAUGUGUCACAGAAAUGUCACAAUAAUGUAUCUUCUGAUUGUGUUGUAUGACCUCAGCACACUCUGGUCUGUCUGCAGGUUAUAGAGGAAACAAAGAGCAGCC